AAUGAACGCUGGCGGCAGGCUUAACACAUGCAAGUCGAGAGAGCGGCGGGCGGGCGAGUAAUGUCGGGGUAACUGACUGAUGGAGGGGGAGAACUACUGGAAGCGGAAGAUAAUAACGCAUAACAUCAGCAGAGCCUAGAUGGGAUUAGCUAGUAGGUGGGGUAACUGCUCACCUAGGCGGCGGUCCCUAGCUGGUCUGAUAGGAUGACCAGCCCACCUGGAACUGAGACACGGUCCAGACUCCUACGGGAGGCAGCAGUGGGGAAAAUUGCACAAUUGGGUCAAGCCUGAUGCCGCCAUGCCGAGUGUGUGAAGAAGGCCUUCGGGUUUUAAAGCACUUUCAGCGGGGAGGCGUUACCCGCAGAAGAAGCACCGGCUAACUCCGUGCCAGCAGCCGCGGUAAUUC
rnacentral:rRNA from 1 species